UACGUAGGGUGCAAGCGUUAAUCGGAAUUACUGGGCGUAAAGCGUGCGCAGGCGGUUAUGUAAGACAGAUGUGAAAUGCCCGGGCUUAACCUGGGAACUGCAUUUGUGACUGCAUGGCUAGAGUGUGUCAGAGGGGGGUAGAAUUCCACGUGUAGCAGUGAAAUGCGUAGAUAUGUGGAGGAACACCGAUGGCGAAGGCAGCCCCCUGGGAUAACACUGACGCUCAUGCACGAAAGCGUGGGGAGCAGACAGG
rnacentral:rRNA from 1 species